UCCCAAAGCUCCAGCAGACGAUGAUGCCAGGCGGCCCCGUAGCCCAUCAGCUCUCCGAGGCUGCAAGAAUAGGAAAACAUGAGAUGAAGCGUCGAGUUAGAUUUUUUUAGAGGCAGGAAACAAGUCAAAGAGAGGGAUCUGAAAAUCCGCAACGCAGAUUCUCGCUAGCAUUGGCCAGCAAGAAACAGGUCGCACCAGCUCUGAGUAAACGUGGGUAUCGCUUCCUGAGAACACAGGUUACCCUGACGCGGCUUUCACUCUGAAACAGGAGAAAUGACAGUAUGAAUCCCUUGCGUUUCCUAGGAUGGUUGAGGGGCCACAUGAGGUCAGAGUCACAAAUAAUAAGCCAGUUUCGCAGAUGCUGGCUACCUGCUCCUCAGGCCCCUCCCCUCCGACAAGUUUCUCACUCUCCCCAGCUUUUGGUGUGAGUGAUUUCAAAGGGGCUUCGUGGUGUUUAUGAGUCCGAUUCACUAAGUGUUCACUGGAGCCUCUAUGAAGUGGGGAAGAUGCGAUUUGAUGCCAAACAAGUUGAAGAAAAUCCAAGAGUCUCUGCUCUCAUUGAAUUAAAAUCCCCUGCUUUGGGCAUGGGUGAGAUGGCUCGGUGGGUAAAGGCAGUCAGCAGAGAGAAAGGGCACACGGCAAAGCGCAGAGGUGUGUGGUCAGAGUCUAAUGUGCGGACUGUAUGAAGAAGCAGAACAGAGCAGCCUGCGCUAGGGCUCGAAUAAGAGAAUACGACGAAGCUGUGGAAACUGCAGGAAAAGAACUAAAAAGGAAUUUGGGAGUUGAAAGAUACAGCAGCUGAAAUGAAAGAUUCACCAAUACCAAGUCUGAUCGAUCAGAAGAAAUAGCAAACUUAAAGACUGAUCACUAAAGGGGCUCCAAGCUGAGAAACAGAGUGGAAAAAGAAUCAAGGAAAAUGGCAGCUUCAGGGAUCUGAGGGAAUCCAGGGCUGAGCCAGGAAGGUAUAUGAGUGCACUGUCGCUGUCUUCAGACACACCAGAAGAGGGCAUCGGAUCCCGUUACAGAUGGCUGUGAGCCACCAUGUGGUUGCUGGGAAUUGAACUCAGGACCUCUGGAAGAGCAGCCAGUGCUGUUAAGCACUGAGCCAUCUCUCCAUCCCUGUAGUAAAAACAUUUACCUAGUUUCAUUGGUUGUUUUGUUGUUGUUGCUUUGUCUAGAUGUAUAAAUGUUAGUGGAACUAGAAAAGCUGGUUCGAAAGCAGCCAUGAAGGCUGAAAAGGAAGCUCGAGGCAAGCCCAGAUCUAUCAGACAGGUGGAAAGCCUCCAUCUGUAAAAGCAUGUGAAUGGGCUAAUUAGCCGAAUGGAAGAAUUUUGUUACUUGAAGAAGGGUUAUUCUAGAAGUCAUUUGAAAAUGGCUGGACAACCAUCAGACAAGGCAAAAAGUUUUAUCCUGCUUUAUAAUAUAUGCCAAGAUAAACUCCAACUGGCUCAAAAAUGAUAAAAAUAUUAAGAAUUCAA